rnacentral:misc_RNA from 1 species
CCGAGGAACAAGCGGCUUUCGAAAGUGGCCCGCCUCUCACACACUGCGUACGCAUGUCAAUACGUUUUUUACAAGCACAAAGGAGAAUGUGUCUAAACAACCAAAAAGCAAAAAGCAA